UCGUGUCGUGAGAUGUUGGGUUAAGUCCCGCAACGAGCGCAACCCUCACCUCUUGUUGCCAACAGGUCAUGCUGGGCACUCUAGAGGAACUGCCCCGGUCAACGGGGAGGAAGGCGGGGAUGACGUCAAGUCAUCAUGCCCCUUACGUCCUGGGCUGCACACGUGCUACAAUGGCCAGUACAAAGGGAUGCGAGACCGCGAGGUGGAGCUAAUCCCAAAAAGCUGGUCUAAGUUCAGAUUGCAGUCUGCAACUCGACUGCAUGAAGGAGGAAUCGCUAGUAAUCGC
rnacentral:rRNA from 1 species